ensembl:lncRNA
AGAAAGUAACUUCUCCUUCAGAGAAAGAAUUUACUGUUUGUUAGCAAUCCUUGGCGGAGAAGGCAAUGGCACCCCACUCCAGUACUCUUGCCUGGAAAAUCCCAUGGGCUGAGGAGCCUGGUAGGCUGCAGUCCAUGGGGUCGCUAAGAGUCGGACACGACUGAGCGACUUCACUUUCACUUUUCACUUUCAUGCAUUGGAGAAGGCAAUGGCAACCCACUCCAGUGUUCAUGCCUGGAGAAUCCCAGGGACGGGGGAGCUUGGUUGGCUGCUGUCUACGGGGUCGCACAGAGUUGGACACGACUGAAGUGACUUAGCAGCAACAGCAGCAAUCCUUGGGCCUUCCCGGGUGGCGCUAGUGGUAAAGAAUUCACCUGCCAAUGCCAGAGACGCAAGAGACAUGGGUUCUAUCCCUGGGUUGGAAACCCGUGAAGGAGGAGAUGGCAACCCACUCCAGUAUUCUUGCCUGGAAAAUUCCAUGGACAGAGGAUCCUGGUGGCCUACUGUCCACGGGGUCGCAAAAAUUCAGACACUGAGCAUGCACACAGAUUCAACAAAAGCAAACCUUAUUCUUACUCUGAAAUCAUAGAAAAGAGUAAAUUAUCCCCAUUAUAAUGGACCAGACUAAAGCUGAGCUUGAGGCCUUGGACACUACCUCCUACAUAGGGAGCCAGCUGUCUAAAGGCUUUGUCUAAGAGCUUCUAAAAAAGAACCAGACUUGGCUGACAGGGCCCAUAGAUCCUUGCUUAGCUAUUAGCAAGCCUUCGGGGCUAGGGGGCGGGGUAUACUGGCAGAUUUUAUUAAACUACAGUCUUAAUAUGGUGGUACUGGAGAUGACCCAGACCUCAGGAGCUGGGACAGCAAACUUCUCUCUGGCCUUGAGAGCUAAAAUUCCUCCAUCUGGCCAUGGGCCAGCCCUAGAGAAUCAAGAAAGUGGGAAGCCAUGGAAAUGUUCUGUGUUUGUGCCAAAGAAAAGUUUUGACCAGAGUUUUCCAUGCAGGAUUGUUUCACAUGUGUAUGUGUGUUAAAUAUUUUGUAACAUCUAAUUUAAGAAGAAGUUCAACCAUAAAAAAAACAAAAGAAGUCCAACUAAGCCAAGAGCGGAAAUGGUCAGAGUUCAGUCCCCACCCACUAAAGCCUCAGGCCAGAUCUGGAAUAGAGAUCUCAAGAGCACAGGCCUUUGAAGAGGGUAAGCAGAGGAAUAGGAGAAAGGAUGGAUUUGAAUUGCUGGUGGAAAAGAGACAGUGAAAUUAUACUGCGGUUGGGUGAGGCGGGGAACUUUUUAGAUAAAACACAUCUGCCGGAAGAGAAGCUAAAGAAAGGGUGGAAGGGCUGCUCCUGAAGGGGUGGGGUGGGUAGCUGUAUUGUCUAGUCUACCCUCUCCUUUCUGAGGAGAGCCCAAGGCCAGUUAGUGGCUUGGCCUGGCCUCUGAGUCCGACACCUGCCUUACAUCAUGCUGUUCCUAGAUGUAGUUCUUAGGGGGAGGAGGAAGGGGGGCACUUACCUUGAUCUCCCCACCCUCAGUGUGACUCCAGCAGGGCUCUGACGACAGUACACAGCCCUAGUGGGGGAUUGAAGAUGGCCUGUAAGGAGGCAGGGCGAGGAGGGAAGAGCCUUGUGCAAAGGAAGACCAGAGACAGCUGAGCUUGGACCGCCCUCACCUGCAGAAAAUCAACACCAGGGCCCUUACCCUCAGACUAACGUUUCUUGUCGCUGCACCUCUCAGCAGCUCUGAUGGCUCGUAGGGUGCUGAGUGCCAUCCUGAUGUUUCAGUGCCCAGAAAGGUCAGCACAUCUCUUGGGUGAAUUUCAGAGGGGACUGAUAAACAUCUUGGGAGACUGGAAGAAAAGAUCAAAGGGAUCAGAGGAUGGCCAGUAGGUUUUUUAUUUAUUUUUAAUUGAAGGAUAAUUCUUUACAGUAUUGUGCUGGUGUCUGUCAUACAUCAACAUGAAUCAGCCAUAGCUAUACAUAUGUCCCCUGCCUCUUAAACCUCCCCCCACCUCCCACCCCAUCCCACCUCUCUAGGUUAUCACAGAGCCCCACUUUCAGUUCCCUGAGUCAUACAGCAAAUUCCCACUGGCUAUCUAUUUCACAUAUGUUAGUGAAUAUGUCUCCGUUCUACUCUCUCCAUUCACCCCACCCUCUCCACCAUCCCCAUCCCCAUGUGCCUAAGUCUGUUCUCUACAUCUGCAUCUCCACGGCUGCCCUGCAAGUAGGUUCAUCGGUACCGUCUUUCUAGAUUCCAUAUACAUGCAUUAAUAUACGAUAUUUGUCUUUCUGACUGACUUCACUCUGUAUAAUAGGCUCUAGGUUCGUCCAUCUCAUGAGCACUGACUCAAAUGUUUUCCUUUUUAUGACUGAGUAACAUUCCAUUGUGUAUAUGUACCACAGCUUCUUUACCCAUUCACCUGUCAAUGGACAUCUAGGUUGCUUCCAUGCCCUAGCUAUUGUAACUAGUGCUGCGGUAAACAUUGGAGUACAUGUAACUUUUUUCAAUUAUGACUUUCUCAGGGUACAUGCCUAUGUGGGAUUGUUGGGUCAUAUGGUAGUUUUAUUCCUAGUUUUUAAAGGCAUCUCCAGUGCAAGAAGUCUCCCUUUUCUCUACACCCUCUCCAGCAUUUAUUGUUUGUAGAUUUUUUGUGUAAGCUCAUUAGGUUUUAGGUAUGCUGGCACUCAAGAAUAAGAGAAGAACUUUCCAGUUACGAGCACCCAAGGACCAGAAGAGGAAGGAACACAUUUCAAAUGGAAUCUACCCAGUUGGAGACCAAAGAAGACUGUCCAAAUCUCUGUACUCAUCUUGGCUGUGGGGUCCUGUCACUCAGUCGUGUCUGACUCUGCGACUCCCAUGGACUUCAGCACACCAGGCUUCCCUGUCCUUCACGAUCUCCCGGAAUUUGCUCAAACUCAUCUCCAUUGAAUCAGUGAUGCUAUCCAACCAUCUCAUCCUGUGUCAUCCCCUUCUCCUCCUGCCUUCAAUCUUUGCCAUCAUCAGAGUCUUUCCCAAUGAAUCAGCUCUUCACAUCCAGUGGCCCAAGUAUUAGCACAACAUCCAUCAUCAAGUAGGCACUGGAUAAAGAGUGCCGCUCUUUGUCUCAUCAUAAUCUUGUCUUCGGGCUUCCUGGUGGUCCAGUGUUUAAGAAUCUGCCUGCCAACGCAGGGGACACGAUUCAGUCCCUGGUUGGGGAAGAUCCCACAUGCUGCGGGGCAGCUAAGCCCAGGAACACAACUACUGAAGCCCUCGCGUGCCUGUGUUCCGCAACUAGAGAAGUGGCCACAGUGAGAAGCCUAUGCACCUCAACUAGAGAAUAGCCCCUGCUCUCCACAGCUAGAGAAAAGCCCGUUCGCAACAACAAAGACCCAGUGCAACCAGAAAUAUAUUAAAAAAUAAAUAAAAUUUUUUUAAAUGGGUUGUUUUAAG